ACCGGACGAGAGCGCAGACUGGCGAUCAGUUGGUUAGCAAGUCGCAUAUUGUCAGUUGCACUCGAAUCAUUCGGUAGCCUGGUUAUAUCCCCUUGUUUUACCCACUAUCUCGGGUAGCACCCGGCAAUCGUAAUUACGCGCUAAGCGCAUAAGGAAUUCGGAACAUGGCAACUGGCACAGUUAAGUGGUUCAACGACACUAAAGGCUUUGGCUUCAUUUCUCCGGCAGACGGUGGCGACGAUCUGUUCGCACACUUCUCCGAGAUCCAGGCUGACGGCUUCAAGUCUCUGCAGGACGGUCAGGAAGUUUCUUUCGACGUCACUCAGGGCAAGAAAGGUCUUCAGGCUGCUAACAUCAAGCCGCUCUAAGACUUCCGGUAGAUCCUUCGCCCUAGGGCGAUAGAGCUUCCAGCACCAAGGCCCGCUAACGCGGGCCUUGGUGUU
rnacentral:other from 1 species